rnacentral:piRNA from 1 species
UCCUAUCACUGGGAAUGGUGUUUGUGGA